AAAUAGUCACGAAAUUUAAUCUAUUUGAUUUGUGUACAUAGAUACGAGUUUCCAUUUCUUUUUCGUGACACUCCGCAUGACUUUCAACUACGUAUUUUUAGUUAAUCGUUUUCCAACUAUAGUCCAGCAACACGUGUCAAUUUCUGUUCCAGUCUUUUCAAAAUAAAACUGCUCAGUUAGGUUUAGGAAUAGAUUGACUUGUUUAGGUUUAGGAAUAGAUCGACAUGGUUAGGCUUAGGCAACAAACUACUUAGUUAGACUUAGGAAAAGAUUGUGAUUGGGUUAAAAGAACUUCAGAAGUGCCAUAACUUGACAAACAAAUACACUCUGACUUGUGGUUUCCUACAGGACGUUGACCCACCCGUCAACCCCGACCUCUUCCCUACAGGGAGUUUGCCGUCCUUUAUACUUCCCGGUUCACAAUUACGUUGAUUACAUACGAAUUGAUUUCGUGCUGACCAUCAGACAAAAAAAAUGUACACGAAUCAAUAUAUCAAUUUACAUGACUAUUUUAAGAACUGCUGUGCGACCGGGCUGGUUUAUCAGAGCUUUUUCACUGAAAACGAUGACGUUGAACCAAAACGGCAAAGUCAUAAAACCAAAACAAAUUGUUUAAAGAUGCUAAAACGUUUCAUCGAGCUGAGGGAACAUGCAGAGUUGGAUAAUAAUUCUCUGCUGGUUCAUCACUAAGUGCAAUCUCUUUAACAUUACACAUAGCCAUUUUAUACAUUGUGGAUAUAAAAGCACUGAUUGGUGCAGCUUUAUAAUCAAACUACUUUUUCUAUUACCGGGUUUCUGUUCUGCCUUAUAUAUAACUAUUCCCAACAGUCACUCAGUCUAGUGCAGCCUAUGCUUAAGCAUCAUUACGGAGUAAAACAAUGAGGUUGUAUUUUCCCAUCGUACUGCAGUAAAACAUAUGGACCUAUAGCUUGGAAACGGUGUCAGCCUCAUUGUGACCAGCAGCUUCACAUCAGUCAGAGAGACUGAGGCAACUCAGCUGUUACUCAGUGUUUUAAUGGCCCAUUCAAAUUAAAGGCAUUGUCAACAAGGCAGUUGGCUUUAUCAAGGUUGUUGAUCUAAGCAGGCAAUUUUCUUCUUAGGAACCAAGAGGAAUGAGAUGGUUGAGAGCAAGUUAAAAAAAAAAGAAAAAGGCUCAUCUGUGGAUGCUGAUGCAGCUUCACACACACACCGUAUACUGGCAGAUUUAGAAGGGGAAACACACAGAGAUGCUGUUUUUAGUCACUCCAAUCAUUUAUUUCUUUGUGGGUCAUCUUUUUUGUCUCCAAGACGGUUGUCCUUUUCUAUCAAUUGGAUGAGAUCAUGAUUCCGGAGAAACAGACAUCUGACAAGGCAAAGACCUAUACAGAGCAUCACGUGUAGAAGAAAACAUCACUGUGAUUAUGACUAUUCAGCAUGAGACAGUCAGAAAGAGGAAGCAAAAGGCCACAUUUCACCCCACCCCCUGCGAAAAUCAAUCUUCUGGAGCAUUGUGAGACCAGCAUACCGAUGAGCCUUCAUUCACAUGUAUCCUCCCUUUGUUGCUCUCUUGGCCUCCCUCUCAUGAAAACUGAAAUUAAUAUCUGAUUUAUAGGAACCUUUGAAAUCGCAUUAUGCAUCUGAAUCAGGACUAUACGCUGGCAAUAAUGUCUAUAAGGCGCAACAUGUUGGAUCUUUAUCCAAUCAUAUACACCUAUUUUGUAGCCUUACUCAAAUGAAAUCGAAGUGAUCUGACAUCCUGCCCGCCGAAACAGGUGGGGUCCACGCAGUCUGUCGGGGGGUUUAAACCCGGCGGUCGAGACGUCUCCCAAGGCGCUCGCUGGCCAUUGCAUUGCAUUUCCUCAGGUGCACCGACUCUAGGACUCUGGGUCAGGUUGGAAAGGCCCGGGGUGGAGGUGGCUCACGGCUCCAACCUUGAGUUUCCUCGCCCGGACCUCGCCGCUUCUUGGGGCCGUGGAGUGCUCGUUGCGCGGUGCGUCGGGGGUCUAUGGGGAUGUCGGCAACCUACUCGUCUUGAAGCAAGGACCCUGUCUUGUUUAACAUGCUUUGUGGGUAGGACUUUUGCCUUGUCAUCACCAUACAACCAAAUUGUUUAUGAUUACAUUGUUUACGAUAGUGCAAAGUUCUUCAUAGAUCUAGCCUCUUCAUUUUGCUCUCAAAGUGCACCAGAUUGAUGCAUUUAACUUUAAAAUGUACAAAAUGUGUCCACAGUCUCACAGAAUCCUGUUGGAAACACUGUAUUCAUCAUGGUCGUCACCAAAAACUGGAUGUCCCCCCCACUUCAAAACGUAUUCCGGUGCCGCUGGGUACAGUGGUAGAAAGUACAUUUACUCAAGUACUGUAGGCUACUGAAAGGAGCAUGAUGUAACACUUAGAGCUGGUGUGUAAAAUGGGUACCUCAGUCCAAAUUCAAAAUAUUGCCGAGAGCCGUCCCCCCCCCCCCCCCCCCCCCCCGCCCCCUCCUCCCUAGACCCGAGACUCGAAGUUCAUGCGGGUUGCCAGGUUGAGGACACUUCUGCAGAAGCCGUGUCCUAAACUUACAGUAUUGGGCGGAUUACUUAGAAAAUUCUACGUUAGCUAAAAGGAAACGUUCUUUUUCGUUCAGCCGGCAAGGGCUAAAGUUAUCUGUAGGCUGGAUAGUUAACUUUAACUUUAGCAAUCUAAGGCUAGCGAAAUUUGAACACAAUCAUUGAUUCAGUCACAAAAAUAAACUCUUCUCAAACUGGUAUAUGGUAUCUAUUAGAUAAGAUAAAUGGCUAUCAUGUAUUAAUUUGGGGGACAUAAGUCUCCUCAUCACUUCAUGCGGAUCUAAUAUUUUACUUUUGAUACUUUAGAUACAUUUGUACUUUUACUUAAGUAACAGGACUUUUUUCUCGUGGCAGAGUAUUUUGACGCUGUUUUACUGGUAUUUUUAUUUCAGUAAAAUGGUUAUUUAUAGUAUAACAGGCUUGUAUUGUCAGAGACAUGUAUAUGUUUUCCAUGUGGUCAGAGAAUUUCAAUAGGCUAGACAUAGUGUGAUAAUAUCUUUUUUUUUUUCCCCCUUAGCCAGGCUUAGCAUAAUCCUCUUUUACCCAAUUUAGCAUGCUUCCCAGCAACAAUAACUGUGACAUUACUGUACAUACAUUGCUAGCUCUAUCCUGGAUUGACCUCAGCAUAAGCACACACAAAAAAAAAGAUCCCAGAACAUGUGGUUUAAUCCGCUAUCAAGACUUAAAACCUUAUUUUGUUGAAAAGGAGUCAAAAACAGGGGCUGCCAGUGCACUGAGAUAACACAAUACAAGUCAACUUGGAUUUCCUGGAUACAUGGCGUCUUCUUCAUGGUGCUUGCCAGUGGUGGCUGCGAGCAUUGAUGGGCCCUGGUUCAAGAUUUUUUAAAUGGGCCCCCAUUCAACCUGAGACAUGCAAACAUAAACAUCAGAGCCAGCUGCUGGCAUUAGCAGAAGCUAUAGGGAAAUGUUGUUGGGGGGCUUGGGUACAGAGAGAGAGAGAGAGAGAGAGAGAGAGAGCCACAGAGAAAGAGAAAAAGAAUACAGUGACGCAUACACAUUGCUGAGGCAAAUGCGGCCUCCAGUAGAUUAUGUUUGCUCGUAUUUCCGUCUGCUCCGACAGCCUCACAAAGAGCAAUUUUUAUGGCUCGUUGGCUGAGGUGCACACCGACCUUUUGUGUUCACCUUGAUAGGCCACCGUGCAUUUUUACAUAAUGCAGAUUUAGGUGCGCAUCGAAAAAGAAAUAAUGCCACCCACAACUGCUUGUAAAUGACAACAAAAUGAACUCAAGGUCCCCCGACCUCGAAAAGUAAUGCACUAGAAUAGCCCACAUAAUAAUUCAUAUGUAAUCCAAGUAAUUGUGAGUUAGGAAAGGUGACGUAGUAUAAAAAAAAAAAAA